GCGGAAGUGGCGGAAUUGGUAGACGCACUAGAUUUAGGUUCAUGCGCCUGUAAGGUGUGAGAGUUCAAGUCUCUCCUUCCGCA
rnacentral:tRNA from 1 species